GACAAUUAAUUGUGCUCACACAUGAAAACUACAUACUAGGGUAUCAUUUAUCAGUCAUAUAAUAAUAAUUAAAUAAAUAAAUUUAUAAGAAAUAUAUCAUACUGAUAAAUACAAAACAAUAUACAAAGCAUUCAGAAUUGCUUGUCUCUUUCUCUCUCUGUAAAAAAGCAGUAUAUGCCAAAUGAUAUCAGUCAAUGAAGGCCUGAUGUUCUCAAGACAGUAACAAAAUAAGUAACAAGUAAUGUAUAGACUGUAUCUAUGUGUGGACAUACAAACUACACAUAAUUAAACUACAUAUAAACUAACCAUAAAAACCCACAUAAAAUAUAAAUACAAAUUGCUAAUAUAUAUAAACUGCAUAUCACAGAUGUACAUAACUUCAAUUAAAAUUAUUGUAAAAUUUAUGUGUAAUUGUUAUAUUAAUAACAGAAAUAUAUAAUAUAGUGAUUUUAAUACUUGUUUGCAUUGGUGAAUGUUUAUUUUAAUAUACUAUAGUUACCAAUAUUUACAUACUGGCCUACAAAAAUGAUUGUAUUGUUACAUACGCACUGUAUCAAGAAUGCUACCAACUGCCAAUCAAUAAAUUGAAUAGAAUAUGUAGCUCAACAUAAUAUUUAUCACACACAAACACGUAAAAAUUACACAAUAUGCAGUACACGUGUGUAUGUGGAUAGGAAGGAAAAACUACACACACAUGUGAUCACACAAACUACACAUGUGUACACACAUAAACUGCACAUACAUAGGUGCAUACACAUGUAAAUCCUAUACCAUUCAUCCUAACAACUGAAUAAAUAAUAAUACGCUACCUAUUUUAAUUACCGUAAUUUUACCAUAUGAUGACCUAAUUACUAAAUAAAACUACAUGUCAGAACAUCCAUACCUCCACUUCAUCUUGUUCUGGGGGAUGAUGGUACUUAUGGUUUUUGAACCAGCGAACUCUUAAUCCAGACAUCUUGAAAGCACCUUUAUACUCAGGCUACAAUAAGUGAUCAACAGCAAUUUUCCAACAACCGUAAUGUCAUCACAGAAGGACAUAUAAAGCCCUUUUGGAUUACAAACCAAAUGCUAGGCUUCACCACCUGUCUGGAAUAUUGAAUCAGAUGUAACAGGGCUCCGGUCGGUCGUUCAAGCACUCACCAAAGUACACAGCAGCUUCUAACAUGCUUGACGUCGUACAACAAUAAUAAUCACUCGUUGAGUCAGGCGCUCGAGCCAAGGACUAUUCUAUAAUUGAGCAGUAUUAACAAUAGGCUAAAUUGCAUUCAAUGACGUAGAAGGGGAAUUUGGAGAAACCAGAGACAAUUUUAUAAUAUUACAGGCAGCAACACAAAAGAUUAAUCACAAGAGAUGCUUGUUUAAAUUAAUGCUGAAUUAUUGAUGAUUUACUGAUUAGAUUAUGAUUGGAUCUUCAAGAUUUUACCACAAAUAAAGAGAGAAGGAGGAUGUGUUAUUGGUUGCUGGGAUUUUCAUUUGUGGCUGAUAAAACAAGAAAGCAAUCUUUGGUGAAGGAGGUAUUUUUCUAAUGGAGACUCUUUGAUGAACGAGAAACUGCGCCUUCUACCGUAUGCCGCAAAUUAAUAUACCAUAUAAGAUGCCGGACUCCGUGUCUCGGGAGAGGGUUGACAAAUAUAUAUCUCACUGGGGUUACUGUGGAAACUGCUUCUCGUAAUAAAGAUGUCGAGAAAAAGAAAUUAAUCAUACAGUGUUGGGAGAUAAUCCUCUGGAUUUUUAACAGCAUCUGACAAGCAGAACAAGUUAUGUCAAUGUAAUGAACGUCCUAGUAAAGCAUUAGAUAGAAUAUUCUAAAUAUUAGCACUACUUGCGUUGAAUUAUUAAUUCCAGUUAUCAACUGCGUUGUCAAAUUAUGUAAUAUAAGACUUUCUUACAUUUGAAAUAAAAAAAAUUCUUUAAUGGAACAGUCAGAGGAGCCAUACUGUAGAUACACAUUAAUCAGCAUGAACCAAUCAAAAUUGCUCAACACGGGUAUUUCGAUUUAAAGAUACAGACGAUUGCAAUCUAACAAAAAUCCUGAAAAGGAACACAUGAGAAUGUACAUGAUCUUUAAGAAAAAGCACUAUAUACAUACCGCGAUGUAUGUAUGUAUAUGCCACUAAAAAAAAGCAUUUUUGCUUUGUACACAUUUGAUCUGUACUAGCUGUAAUUUAUAUUUGAUUGCCAAAUGCUGUAGUUCCUCAUUGGAUUCCUAGCCUUCAAAAUCCAUCCUGUCACAACCUUAAUGGCUAUUAAACUACUGGAGCAUGGAGGCUAAUGAGGUGAUAGAGAAUUUAAAAUAUGUCUGUAAUGAGAGUUGAGCCAUUAGGAACAAUGUUGUGUUUAAAAAGUAAGAGUAACGAUAUUUACAUCCACUGGUGGAUAAAUUGUGAAAAUGGCCACACUUCACAUAAGAUGACACCGCUUCGACCAUCAAAAACUACUUACGACAAAUAUUUAUCACUCGUUGAGAAAUGUCGUCUUUUUUUCCUUAUAGUAACAUUCAAAUUUAGAGUUAAUAAAUUCAACUGAG
rnacentral:lncRNA from 1 species